UAACGGUGUGAUGGCACAGCAAGAUCUUUUUAUUAAAAAUAUAACUUAUUCCCAACUUCUGACGAUAAAACACUCCUUAAAGGAGGAGGCGGCCUACUGUAGGCAAUCAUUGAACCAGCUAGAAAUUGCCUUAUCGAGAUUUAAAAAAAGUUUUGACGACACUCUGGAAGUUUUUAACUUAGAAAAAGAAACUGAACAGUCUUUUAUACCUCUAAGUUCUUCUUUGUAUGUUAAAGGCACAUUAAGAAAUACUAGUAAAGUUCUCGUGGACAUUGGUACUGGUUAUUACGUGGAAAAAAAUCUUGAGCAAGCAAAGUUAUAUUUUACACGACGGAUGAAUUUUUUGCGCACGAAUAUACAAAAGUUGUGGGAAACUUUGAAAGAAAAAGAAAACCAAUAUAAUAUUGUUGCAGAUCUGGCCGAAGCUAAAUUAUUGCAAAGUAGCUCACCUGGAGAAAACCAACUUGUUUG